CUUCUCAUUCUUUUAUUGCUAUGUACACUCGCCCAGGUGUGCUUUUCAAGGUUUAUAUUAUUCUAAUUUGUGGUUAUUGAUUUUGUCUUCUGGUGUCAAACAACAAUUAGCAGAGUGGUUUGGGGAAGUUGAGUAGCCAGUUUAGCUUCCGCAAUUCAUGUGUAUUCUUUAUGCUCUGUCAUGCACACAAGAUUACCUUUCCUGAAUUUAGCUCCAACCAACAGUAAGUACUGCAUCUAGCUUUAACAAUUUUGCAAUUUAUGGAUUGAAGGAGAUUAAGAAGUUUCUAAUUCAUGAUUACCUCAUUCAUUUCUCUCAAAUUCCAUUUACUUGCGAGGUCACCAUGCUUUCUGUUUUUUCCUUUUUAAAUAGUUAUGAUGCACUCCGUCUCUCCCUCAUGCGGCUCUGGCUGGCAUGGCCUCGCUCGCCUCGGUCUUCGUCGGCUCCGGUGAGGCGGGCCGUGGGUGUCAGCCCCGUCCUUCAUCGGCGGCGCGCUGGCAGUCCCAGUACUCUCUCUGCCCGCCACCCUCCCUCUACCCUGCCUCUUCUCCUUCCAGUUUUUUCAUCCCGUUUGCUUUUAUGUGUGUGUCUCUCUACUGCUUGGGAGGGGAAAAGAUGGAGUUCGUUGGGAGAUGGGUUUGUGCUGGGAUCCCCUCUCCCCCAUGGCAUUACUGACUAAAUCCUCAAGGCCUAUGAAAUUUCUUCAAGUUUAGGUCUGGAAUCAUCUCCUUCUCCCCGUGCAGCUCAUCCUCGCCGGCAGGAGGAGCAUGGGCCGCGGCCGUCACCUGCCAUGGCACCCCCGUCGUGACCCUCAACGCCAAGAACAAGUCCACUUGCAGCGCUAGAUGCGGGUCAAUUAUAAUCGCAUGGGACUACCAACUCACAGGUUUAUCUCUCCCUACUAAUCCAGGUGCAUCUCCAUAGUCAUCUUGCCCUCCAUAAUUUUAUUUCAUAAAAGGUCAAGGCCAAGGUAAAAGUGCAGCCAAACUCCUCCUAUCUGAUUUAGCCCCUAGAAGCUAGAACAUCUCAUCUUUGCUUAUGCAAAUCUGUUUUGUCUAUGACUAGGUGUUCGAUUAAAAUCCUUGCUAAGAUAUGUUAUAUUUAUGCUCCACCGUACCAGGAUGUUAAGGAGGGAGAUUUUAUGUGAGCUUAUAUUCUAUACUUCUAUCCUUUCUCACUAACAAUGAAUGUGUUGUUCUUCCUGGUUCGGCUAGGCAUGAAGCACAAUUAUCCCUAGAAGCUUUUGGGAAUGUCUUGGCCAAUACAGGCUGUGAUAAGAUGUGUGACUAACUAUGUCCAGAAGCUUUUGGGAAUUCUCACUAACACAAUUAUUCACGCUUUAUUUAAUGCUUGCUUAUCACAUUGGCACAAGUUUCCUGACUGCUCUAUUUACUCUCUAUGCCAGUUUUAUUCGUUCAUGUCAAUGGCCUGGCCAUUACCAUUAUGUGUUACAGCUUGGUUGACGGUUUUUUUUCUCCUGCUUGUUGCUUUUUUUUCGGUAAUGUCAUGUAUAUAUCAUAGUCUAGGAAAAACCUAGCCGGCAUGAACUAGAAUGAGUAUGCACUGUGUUUCGGCAACCAUGUGGCUUGAUCUCUAUAUGUUUCCUCUUUUCAUUACUAUUGCACAUAUCAUUUAUUGUGUUCUUUGUCAUCUGUUGAAUUGGUCCAAAACUAAGUUCAUUUCUUGUAAUGAAAAAUCAUUGAAUUACUGUCUGAAAAUAAGUACAUUUUCAUUUGUUUUAUCAGUGGAUGAAUCUCCAGACUUGGGUUUCCAAUUAUGCUAUAUCCAACUAAAAAUAUUUCUUUGGUAAACUCAUGCUUGACUUACUUGGGAAGGUAUUGUUGUGUAAACAUGAAAGCUUACUUUCUGUGCAGGUAAGAAAAGUGUCCUAUUCUUCCAUGGAAUGUGCGCUGGUGUUCAAAUGUGUGGGUGUUCAGAUGCAAGCUUGAUAAUCUCUAUGUGAUAUGUAUGUAGGUUCAUUUUUUGGGCUUACAUCGACCAUCACUUAACUGCAGGAGCGAAACUACAUUCAGGGAAUUGGCUUCAGAGAUCUACAGAUAUUCAGCGCUCAAGCUUCCUGCAGCAGUUGAUGCAGUUGCAGAUACAUCUUAUUUAGCUUAGAUCAUCCUAGUGCAUUAUUAUGUAUAUUUUUUCGUUACCAGUUUGCUCUAUACUAUAUUACUAAAGAUAUUUCCUUCAGUGUGCUCUCUGUUUAGUUGUAGUCAGCGUAUUGAGGUCUGUCCUUUAUCUCAUUUGUCUUUCUACUACUCCAGAUCAUCAUAGCCAGUUCACUUAGUGAUGACCUUUUCAGUUUCACCUUA